AUUGAACGCUGGCGGCAUGCCUUACACAUGCAAGUCGAACGGCAGCACGGGAGCAAUCCUGGUGGCGAGUGGCGAACGGGUGAGUAAUACAUCGGAACGUGCCCAAUAGUGGGGGAUAGCCCGGCGAAAGCCGGAUUAAUACCGCAUACGACCUACGGGUGAAAGCGGGGGAUCGCAAGACCUCGCGCUACUGGAGCGGCCGAUGUCGGAUUAGCUAGUUGGUGGGGUAAAGGCCUACCAAGGCUACGAUCCGUAGCUGGUCUGAGAGGACGACCAGCCACACUGGGACUGAGACACGGCCCAGACUCCUACGGGAGGCAGCAGUGGGGAAUUUUGGACAAUGGGCGCAAGCCUGAUCCAGCCAUGCCGCGUGCGGGAAGAAGGCC
rnacentral:rRNA from 1 species